GGCUCAGUGGCGGAAGGUCUGCGUCUGCGAAUCUUGAUGAUCGAUUAGAUUCGAACUGUGAAUAGGCAGAUGGUGCUCGUUCGAAUCGAGCCUGGGCCU